rnacentral:rRNA from 1 species
UGGGGAAUAUUGCACAAUGGGGGAAACCCUGAUGCAGCGACGCCGCGUGAAGGAUGAAGUAUUUCGGUAUGUAAACUUCUAUCAGCAGGGAAGAAAAUGACGGUACCUGACUAAGAAGCCCCGGCUAACUACGUGCCAGCAGCCGCGGUAAUACGUAGGGGGCAAGCGUUAUCCGGAUUUACUGGGUGUAAAGGGAGCGUAGACGGCAUGGCAAGUCUGAUGUGAAAACCCGGGGCUCAACCCCGGGACUGCUUUGGAAACUGUGCAGCUCGAGUGCAGGAGAGGUAAGCGGAAUUCCUAGUGUAGCGGUGAAAUGCGUAGAUAUUAGGAGGAAUACCAGUGGCGAAGGCGGCUUACUGGACUGUAACUGACGUUGAGGCUCGAAAGCGUGGGGAGCAAACAGG